rnacentral:rRNA from 1 species
GCAAGUCGAACGAAGGCUUAGGACUUAGUGGCGGAAGGGUGAGUAAAGCGUGAGAAUCUGCCUUCAGGAUGGGGACAACAGUUGGAAACGACUGCUAAUACCCAAUAUGCCUAUUUGGUGAAAUAAAUUUUGCCUGGAGAGGAGCUCGCGUCCGAUUAGUUAGUUGGUGAGGUAAGAGCUUACCAAGGCGGCGAUCGGUAGCUGGUUUGAGAGGAUGAGC